rnacentral:rRNA from 1 species
UGCAUAUCAAUAAGCGGAGGAAAGAAACUAAACAGGAUUCCCCUAGUAACGGCGAGUGAAGCGGGAAUAGCUCAAAUUUUAAAUCUGGCUGGCGUUGGUCAGUCCGAGUUGUAAUUUGAAGAGGCAAUUAUCACGUUUUCGUUUGGGUUCAAGUUCCUUGGAAUAGGACAUCAGAGAGGGUGAGAAUCCCGUCUGUGAUCCGAUCGGUUGCGGUAUGAUAUCGUUUCAAAGAGUCGAGUUGUUUGGGAUUGCAGCUCAAAAUGGGAGGUAAAUUUCUCCUAAGGCUAAAUAUCGGCGAGAGACCGAUAGCGAACAAGUACCGUGAGGGAAAGAUGAAAAGAACUUUGAAAAGAGAGUUAAAUAGUACGUGAAAUUGUUGAAAGAGAAACGAUUGAAGUCUGUCGUACCGACGAGAAAUCAGCUCCUUAUGCGCUUUCUUGUGGGCGUGCGUGAGUUUUAACGCCUCGCUGUUUGCAAUGUUUGUGUAUUUUUGGGUGUACUUUUUCGUAUGGUAGGCCAAUGUCAGUUUCGAUUAUCAUAAAAUGAUCGGAGGAAUGUAGCUUUGAUCUCGGUUGAAGUGUUAUAGCCUCUGGUAGAUGUGGUGAUCGGGACUGAGAAUUGCAACGAAUACCCUUCGGGCUAUCCGUCUGACCUCUGAAAGUCGCUUAGGUGCCGAAAGCUUGCUUACGGUUAUUUAAGUUGGCGGUCAAAAGGUUAGAACGUGAUUAUAUUCGUUAAGGAUGUUGACGUA